rnacentral:rRNA from 1 species
AGUCGCCGGGUAACACGGAGGGUGCAAGCGUUAAUCGGAAUUACUGGGCGUAAAGCGCACGCAGGCGGUUUGUUAAGUCAGAUGUGAAAUCCCCGAGCUUAACUUGGGAACUGCAUUUGAAACUGGCAAGCUAGAGUCUUGUAGAGGGGGGUAGAAUUCCAGGUGUAGCGGUGAAAUGCGUAGAGAUCUGGAGGAAUACCGGUGGCGAAGGCGGCCCCCUGGACAAAGACUGACGCUCAGGUGCGAAAGCGUGGGGAGCAAACAGGAUUAGAUACCCCAGUAGUCCCUGUCUCUUAUACAC